UGUCCGUGAGGCUUCCCCGCUCCGCCCACCGCGCUGCGCCCGCCCCGCCGCCCUUCGGCGCAGCAGCAGCGCUGCCGGACCGGCACGGGGGCAGAGCUCAGGCGCUGGGUUAUUCCUGGGUGGAAUUGUCCAGUCUCCCUGUACUCGGCACCCGUCAGGCCGCACCUCGAAGCCUGUGUUCGGUUCUGAGGCCCUCAGUCUAGGAAGGACACUGGGGUGCUGGAGCCAGUCCAGAGAAGGGCAGCAGCGCUGAAUAAGAACUAUAAAGAAUAUCUAUCUAGCUGUAUACUGAUGCCAACAGAGUUCUGCAGGUGGAGAAGACUUUGGAUCUGUUAAGCACAUCUAGCACUGACCUCAUCUGGACAUAAAUCUUGGCAUAU